AGGAUGAACGCUGGCCGUGCUUAACACAUGCAAGUCGAACGGUGAACCAGGGGCUUGCCUCUGGGGAUCAGUGGCGAACGGGUGAGUAACACGUGAGCAACCUACCCCGAUCUCUGGGAUAAGCGCUGGAAACGGCGUCUAAUACUGGAUAUGAGCUCCUGCCGCAUGGUGGGGGUUGGAAAGAUUUUUCGGUUCGGGAUGGGCUCGCGGCCUAUCAGCUUGUUGGUGAGGUAAUGGCUCACCAAGGCGUCGACGGGUAGCCGGCCUGAGAGGGUGACCGGCCACACUGGUACUGAGACACGGCCCAGACUCCUACGGGAGGCAGCAGUGGGGAAUAUUGCACAAUGGGCGCAAGCCUGAUGCAGCAACGCCGCGUGAGGGAUGACGGCCUUCGGGUUGUAAACCUCUUUUAGCAGGGAAGAAGCGGAAGUGACGGUACCUGCAGAAAAAGCGCCGGCUAACUACGUGCCAGCAGCCGCGGUAAUACGUAGGGCGCAAGCGUUAUCCGGAAUUAUUGGGCGUAAAGAGCUCGUAGGCGGUUUGUCGCGUCUGCUGUGAAAACCCGAGGCUCAACCUCGGGCCUGCAGUGGGUACGGGCAGACUAGAGUGCGGUAGGGGAGAUUGGAAUUCCUGGUGUAGCGGUGGAAUGCGCAGAUAUCAGGAGGAACACCGAUGGCGAAGGCAGAUCUCUGGGCCGUAACUGACGCUGAGGAGCGAAAGGGUGGGGAGCAAACAGGCUUAGAUACCCUGGUAGUCCACCCCGUAAACGUUGGGAACUAGUUGUGGGGUCCUUUCCACGGAUUCCGUGACGCAGCUAACGCAUUAAGUUCCCCGCCUGGGGAGUACGGCCGCAAGGCUAAA
rnacentral:rRNA from 1 species